AGCAGUGAGGAAUAUUGGUCAAUAGCCUAACGGCUGAACCAGCAAUUUGGGGGAAUGUAUAGCGAAAGCUAGUUGUAUUAACUAUUAGUUAAUGCAAGAUCGACUAUGUCGACUAAAGUUCUAGGUAGAACAAUGAUGAUGACAAUUUUCUACCUAUAUGUCUUGACCAAGUCUCGUGCCAGCAGUCGCGGAAAUACGUGGAAGACUAGUGUUAUUCAUCUUUAAUAGGUUUAAAGGGUACCUAGACGGUAUUUCUAGCCCAAAAUAGGGUACGGGUUUACUAGAGUUUUAUGUGAGGAGGGGAGUACUCAUGGAGUAGAGAUGAAAUUUUGUGAUACUAUGAGGAAACUGGUGGCGGCGAAAGCAACCUUCUAUGUAUAAACUGACGUUGAGGGACGAAGGCUUGGGUAGCAAAUAGGAUUAGAUACCCUAGUAGUCCAAGCAGACAAUUCUGAAUGCCAUAGAUUAGAUUAUUUUUGGUCUAUAAAUGAAAGUGUAAGCAUUCCACCUUAGGAGUAAUGUGGCAACACAGGAAAUGAAAUCAUUAGACCGUUUCUGAAACCAGUAGUGAAGUAUGUUGUUUAAUUAGAUGGUCCACAAAAAACCUUACCACAACUUGAAUAUUAUUAAAUUAAUACAAGCGCUGCACGGCUGUCUUCAGUUAAUGUCGUGAGAUUUUGGUUAACUCCAUUAAUUAACGUAAACCCUUACUUUAUUUAUUUUUUUUUAAAGUAGAUCGCCACUAUAUUGGAUAUGAUAAGAGGGACUAAGACAAGUCAUCAUGGCCUGAAUAUUGUGGGCUAUAGACGUGCCACAU
rnacentral:rRNA from 1 species